CAGGCCUAACACAUGCAAGUCGAGCGCCCCGCAAGGNAAGCGGCAGACGGGAGAGUAAUACGUGGGAACGUCCCCUUCGGUUCGGAACAACACAGGGAAACUUGUGCUAAUACCGGAUACGUCCGUAAGGAGAAAGAUUUAUCGCCGAAAGAUCGGCCCGCGUCAGAUUAGCUAGUUGGUGGGGUAAUGGCCUACCAAGGCGACGAUCCGUAGCUGGUCUGAGAGGAUGAUCAGCCACACUGGGACUGAGACACGGCCCAGACUCCUACGGGAGGCAGCAGUGGGGAAUAUUGGACAAUGGGGGCAACCCUGAUCCAGCCAUACCGCGUGUGUAAGAAGGCCUUCGGGUUGUAAAGCACUUUCAGUGGGGAGGAAAAGUUGCCGGCGAAUACCCGGCGACCGUGACGUUACCUGCAGAAGAAGCACCGGCAAACUCCGUGCCAGCAGCCGCGGUAAU
rnacentral:rRNA from 1 species